UUCCUGGAGGACUAGGGGUUAGGCCACAGCGCACUCACUGCCGUGGCCAGCGUUCGAUUCCUCGCCAGGGAA